rnacentral:tRNA from 1 species
GGAAGUGUAGUUUAUUUAGAAUGUUGCUUUUGUAAAGCUUUGGUAUUAGUUUUGUUGCUUUCU